rnacentral:rRNA from 1 species
GGAAGGAGAAGUCGUAACAAGGUUUCCGUAGGUGAACCUGCGGAAGGAUCAUUGUCGAUAACCGAACCAUCGGACGACCGAGAACGUGUCAACACCGCAGUGCCCCGUCCUCGGGCGGGGCACCCCCGUGCGGCCCGUCGGCCCCGGACAACGCACCGCCCCGGCGGCGCGCGUGCCCGGGCCGGCGCGGCGGCAUAACGAACCCCCGGCGCGGUGGGCGCCAAGGAACACUGUAUACUGAGCGCGGCCGCUCCCCCCACGGGGAGGGGCCACGCGCACCUAACAACGUUGUACUUCUGUACGACUCUCGGCAACGGAUAUCUAGGCUCUCGCAUCGAUGAAGAACGUAGCGAAAUGCGAUACUUGGUGUGAAUUGCAGAAUCCCGUGAACCAUCGAGUCUUUGAACGCAAGUUGCGCCCGAGGCCUUCCGGCCGAGGGCACGCCUGCCUGGGCGUCACGCCUCGUGUCGCUCCGCACCCCUCCUCUCCUCCGGGAGGGAGGCGCCGUGCGGACGCGGAGAUUGGCCCACCGUGCCUCGUGCGCGGCGGGCCGAAGUGCGGGCCGUCGUCGGGUCGGGCGCGGCGAGUGGUGGACGAUGAAACAUACGGCUCCUUCACCGUGCCCCGGCCCUCAAAAAUGGCGACCGAUCACGUAUCGUACGGCCCCGAGCAAGGAACCCCCUACCGUGAGAGCGCGCCGCAGAAACGGCGCCUUCGAUCGGAACGCGACCCCAGGUCAGGCGGGGCUACCCGCUGAGUUA